UACGAAGGGGGCUAGCGUUGCUCGGAAUCACUGGGCGUAAAGCGCACGUAGGCGGCUUUCUAAGUCAGGGGUGAAAUCCUGGAGCUCAACUCCAGAACUGCCUUUGAUACUGGAGAGCUUGAGUCCGGGAGAGGUGAGUGGAACUCCGAGUGUAGAGGUGAAAUUCGUAGAUAUUCGGAAGAACACCAGUGGCGAAGGCGGCUCACUGGCCCGGUACUGACGCUGAGGUGCGAGAGCGUGGGGAGCAAACAGG
rnacentral:rRNA from 1 species